UACUGCUAUCAGUGUUCGAUUAAGCCAUGCGAGUUAAAUGUUCUUCGUGAACAUGGCGUACUGCUCAGUAACACGUGGAUAACCUGCCCUAAGGUCCGGCAUAACCCCGGGAAACUGGGGAUAAUACCGGAUAAACCAUAGAUACUGGAAUGUUCUGUGGUUCAAAGUUCCGGCGCCUUAGGAUGGAUCUGCGGCCUAUCAGGUAGUAGUGGGUGUAAAGUACCUACUAGCCGACGACGGGUACGGGUUGUGAGAGCAAGAGCCCGGAGAUGGAUUCUGAGACAUGAAUCCAGGCCCUACGGGGCGCAGCAGGCGCGAAAUCUUUACAAUGCGGGAAACCGCGAUAAGGGGACACUGAGUGCCAGCAUAUUAUGUUGGCUGUCCACCUGUAUAAAUCACAGGUGUUAGCAAGGGCCGGGCAAGACCGGUGCCAGCCGCCGCGGUAACACCGGCGGCCCGAGUGGUAGCCACUAUUAUUGGGUCUAAAGGGUCCGUAGCCGGUUUGAUCAGUCUUCCGGGAAAUCUGACAGCUCAACUGUUA
rnacentral:rRNA from 1 species